rnacentral:rRNA from 1 species
AUACGGAGGGUGCAAGCGUUAUUCGGAAUCACUGGGCGUAAAGAACGCGUAGGCGGGUUGGCAAGUCAGAUGUGAAAUCCUACAGCUUAACUGUAGAACUGCAUUUGAAACUGCUAACCUAGAGUAUGGGAGGGGGAGAUGGAAUUAGUGGUGUAGGGGUAAAAUCCGUAGAUAUCACUAGGAAUACCGAAAGCGAAGGCGAUCUCCUGGAACAUAACUGACGCUAAGGCGUGAAAGCGUGGGGAGCAAACAGGAUUAGAUACCCUAGUAGUCC